UACGGGGGGGGGCAAGCGUUGUUCGGAAUUACUGGGCGUAAAGGGCUCGUAGGCGGCCAACUAAGUCAGACGUGAAAUCCCUCGGCUUAACCGGGGAACUGCGUCUGAUACUGGAUGGCUUGAGAUUGGGAGAGGGAUGCGGAAUUCCAGGUGUAGCGGUGAAAUGCGUAGAUAUCUGGAGGAAUACCGGUGGCGAAGGCGGCAUCCUGGACCAUUACUGACGCUGAGGCGCGAAAGCUAGGGGAGCAAACGGGG
rnacentral:rRNA from 1 species